CAGAAGGGGAUAACACUUGGAAACAGGUGCUAAUACCGUAUAACACUAUUUUCCGCAUGGAAGAAAGUUGAAAGGCGCUUUUGCGUCACUGAUGGAUGGACCCGCGGUGCAUUAGCUAGUUGGUGAGGUAACGGCUCACCAAGGCCACGAUGCAUAGCCGACCUGAGAGGGUGAUCGGCCACACUGGGACUGAGACACGGCCCAGACUCCUACGGGAGGCAGCAGUAGGGAAUCUUCGGCAAUGGACGAAAGUCUGACCGAGCAACGCCGCGUGAGUGAGGAAGGUUUUCGGAUCGUAAAACUCUGUUGUUAGAGAAGAACAAGGAUGAGAGUAAAAUGUUCAUCCCUUGACGGUAUCUAACCAGAAAGCCACGGCUAACUACGUGCCAGCAGCCGCGGUAAUACGUAGGUGGCAAGCGUUGUCCGGAUUUAUUGGGCGUAAAGCGAGCGCAGGCGGUUUCUUAAGUCUGAUGUGAAAGCCCCCGGCUCAACCGGGGAGGGUCAUUGGAAACUGGGAGACUUGAGUGCAGAAGAGGAGAGUGGAAUUCCAUGUGUAGCGGUGAAAUGCGUAGAUAUAUGGAGGAACACCAGUGGCGAAGGCGGCUCUCUGGUCUGUAACUGACGCUGAGGCUCGAAAGCGUGGGGAGCGAACAGGAUUAGAUACCCUGGUAGUCCACGCCGUAAACGAUGAGUGCUAAGUGUUGGAGGGUUUCCGCCCUUCAGUGCUGCAG
rnacentral:rRNA from 1 species